AGGACGAACGCUGGCGGCGUGCUUAACACAUGCAAGUCGAGCGGUAAGGCCCUUCGGGGUACACGAGCGGCGAACGGGUGAGUAACACGUGGGUGAUCUGCCCUGUACUUCGGGAUAAGCCUGGGAAACUGGGUCUAAUACCGGAUAUGACCUUACAUCGCAUGGUGUUUGGUGGAAAGAUUUAUCGGUACAGGAUGGGCCCGCGGCCUAUCAGCUUGUUGGUGGGGUAAUGGCCUACCAAGGCGACGACGGGUAGCCGGCCUGAGAGGGCGACCGGCCACACUGGGACUGAGACACGGCCCAGACUCCUACGGGAGGCAGCAGUGGGGAAUAUUGCACAAUGGGCGAAAGCCUGAUGCAGCGACGCCGCGUGAGGGAUGACGGCCUUCGGGUUGUAAACCUCUUUCGACAGGGACGAAGCGCAAGUGACGGUACCUGUAGAAGAAGCACCGGCCAACUACGUGCCAGCAGCCGCGGUAAUACGUAGGGUGCGAGCGUUGUCCGGAAUUACUGGGCGUAAAGAGCUUGUAGGCGGUCUGUCGCGUCGUCCGUGAAAACUUUGGGGGCUCAACCCCAAGCUUGCGGGCGAUACGGGCAGACUUGAGUUCUGCAGGGGAGACUGGAAUUUCCUGGUGUAGCGGUGAAAAAGGCGACAAAUUAUCAGGAGGAACACCGGGUGGCGAAGGCGGG
rnacentral:rRNA from 1 species